rnacentral:rRNA from 1 species
UACGUAGGGGGCAAGCGUUGUCCGGAAUCAUUGGGCGUAAAGCGCGUGUAGGCGGCCCGGUAAGUCCGCUGUGAAAGUCGGGGGCUCAACCCUCGAAUGCCGGUGGAUACUGUCGGGCUAGAGUGCGGGAGAGGCGAGUGGAAUUCUUGGUGUAGCGGUGAAAUGCGCAGAUAUCAGGAGGAACACCAAUUGCGAAGGCAGCUCGCUGGAACGUAACUGACGCUGAGACGCGAAAGCGUGGGGAGCAAACAGG